rnacentral:rRNA from 1 species
GGGGGUAAGAAGGGCAGUGAUUAGAGUUUGAUCCUGGCUCAGGAUGAACGCUAGCUACAGGCUUAACACAUGCAAGUCGAGGGGUAACGAUAUUGAAAGCUUGCUUUCGAUAGGCGACGACCGGCGCACGGGUGAGUAACGCGUAUCCAACCUGCCCAUAACUAAGGGAUAAUCCGUAGAAAUGCGGUCUAAUACCUUAUGUGUUCCGACGAGGACAUCUGAAUUGGAAUAAAGAUUUAUCGGUUAUGGAUGGGGAUGCGUCUGAUUAGAUUGUUGGCGGGGCAACGGCCCACCAAGUCUACGAUCAGUAGGGGUUCUGAGAGGAAGGUCCCCCACAUUGGAACUGAGACACGGUCCAAACUCCUACGGGAGGCAGCAGUGAGGAAUAUUGGUCAAUGGGCGAGAGCCUGAACCAGCCAAGUAGCGUGCAGGACGACGGCCCUAUGGGUUGUAAACUGCUUUUGUAUGGGGAUAAAGUGCUCCACGUGUGGAGUUUUGUAGGUACCAUACGAAUAAGGACCGGCUAAUUCCGUGCCAGCAGCCGCGGUAAUACGGAAGGUCCGGGCGUUAUCCGGAUUUAUUGGGUUUAAAGGGAGCGUACGCCGUGGAUUAAGUGUGUUGUGAAAUGUACGCGCUCAACGUCUGACUUGCAGCGCAUACUGGUCCACUUGAGUGCGCACAACGCGGGCGGAAUUUGUCGUGUAGCGGUGAAAUGCUUAGAUAUGACGAAGAACCCCGAUUGCGAGCAGCUCGCGGGAGCGCAACUGACGCUGAAGCUCGAAGUGCGGUUAUCGAACAGGAUUAGAUACCCUGGUAGUCCGCACGUAACGAUGGAUGCCCGCUUUCGGUCAUUAGACCGUGAGGCAGUGAAACAUUAGCAUCCACUGGGGAGUACGCCGCACGGUGAGCUCAAGAUGACGGGCCGCAAGCGGAGAACUGUGGUAAUCAUGAUCCGAGACUACGCCUGAUUGCAAUGAAGAUCGAUGUGAGCCUAGGACUCUUGAAGGUUCCAGGUGUCUCACCUUGGCCGUGAGGUCGCCUAAGCUUAACG